rnacentral:rRNA from 1 species
UGGGGAAUCUUGCACAAUGGGGGCAACCCUGAUGCAGCGACGCCGCGUGUGUGAAGAAGGCCUUCGGGUUGUAAAGCACUGUCAGGAGGGAAGAAAACCGACAUUGGUUCGGCGUGACGGUACCUCCACAGGAAGCACCGGCCAACUCCGUGCCAGCAGCCGCGGUAAUACGGAGGGUGCAAGCGUUGUUCGGAAUCAUUGGGCGUAAAGCGCGCGCAGGCGGCCACGAAAGUCCGGUGUGAAAGCCCGGGGCUUAACCUCGGAAGCGCACUGGAAACUGAGUGGCUUGAGUCCGGGAAGGGCCAGUGGAAUUCGUGGUGUAGGGGUGAAAUCCGCAGAUAUCACGAAGAACACCGGAGGCGAAAGCGACUGGCUGGACCGGGACUGACGCUCAGGCGCGAAAGCGUGGGUAGCGAACA